AUGGUGGUUAUUGAUGGGAAGGCCAUUUCCUUUGGGUUUAUGGCUUCGAAUUUAGGUCCCUUGUUGAUUUCCCUCCCUAUUUUCACACUCACAGGACAGUUCUACGCAUUUACUUGGCAAACAAAGAAGCAGGAGGCACUGUGUGGGGCUGAUUCCUCAAGAGGAAGCAAGCAAGAGGCCACAGGUGACAGAGAGUGCAUAUGUGCCCUCACAUUCCUUCAACAUGCGCUGAAUGUGUGUCCCUGCCCUGUGCAAGGUAAUGGAUUUACAGCUGUGAGCAUGGCAACAUCAUUGCACUGGAUAAUGAUGGCUCUGACCCUCCGAAUCUUUCACAAUCUGGUAAGUGAAAUGAAUGAGGGAACCAAUUUCUGUGUGUUCAGGCCAGUAUCUCAGACUAUUAGAUCCAGCCUGGGAAUAAAACCCAUUUUUAAUGCACCAUUUGAUAAGAACACUUAA
rnacentral:lncRNA from 1 species